rnacentral:lncRNA from 1 species
UGUUUGUUGUUGUGCCUGAAACAACUAUAUAAUAUUUGGUUGUUGUUUUUUUGGCCUUUUGACUGAUGCUAUUUUACAAAAUACUCAUCUAUCAUUCAUGAAUUCGAGAAGUAGAAUAUUUAGUUCUAUUGAAUAGUAUUUAUAAAGUCUAUCAAUGGGGCAUGUAGUUCUGUUAGAAAAAUAUUGCCUCUCUUUGUCAUUUUCCGCACUUCCUUUCUUGAAAAAUAUGAAAUUUAUAGCUACUUUGACUUAUUUUUUUCUAAAAGCUUUUUUGAGAAUAUUUCAAUUGAUGUUGAAUGCUCUUUUCAAUGGGUGCAGGGUGUGAUGAAGUAUCAAGGUCUUAUUUGGAUUUUUUUUUGAAGAAAUUUACUGCGGAAGUUGAAUCAAAUGACAAGGUUGUUUUGAAUAAUUGUAAGGUAAGUAUGAUGUGAAAUGAAGUUUGACUUGCUCUAUUGGUUUAUUGUCUUAUUUAUUGUAGGUUGUGGUCACUGUCUUUAUUGGUUGUGACACAUGUUUUGUUCUUAAGAAUAAAUUGAUAUAGGUACAAAGGCAUGCAUUUUACAGUGGUCUGAUCAAUCAUUAAAGAGUACAAAGAUGGUUAUGCUGAUUUUGAGAAUUUUUUAUCGCCUCAAUUUGUUGGAUUUACAAGUAACCCAAUGUGUCGUCUAUUUUUAAGCUGUUUUGAUAAAAAGAAAGGAUUAUAUCUAAAGAUGCACUUAACUCCUAAUUCUUACAAAGUCUAAUAAAGAACCUUUGGUAUGAUAAUUUAUCUCUUGAUUCAUAUUUUUAGUAUGGUUAUUGCAGUUAGUAAAAAUUGCAAGGCUUCUAAAGGCAAACACAUCUUGUAUUUGUGUCAUAUUUUCACACUUUGUCCCAACUUCUCAGUUCAUCUUUCUCUUUAUCUCUUCCCCUCCCUCUUAUUGUUGUCCCUGUCUCUCCAUACAGAACAAAUAAAUGUAACUAAGAAUUCUAUAACUACUGGUGAUAGAAGAAGUACAAUCUCUUAAGAAUAUAUAUAUUUGAUCAAUUUUAAUUGGUAAGUCCUCUUUGUAUAGGAGUCGUAGUUAGUAUUAACAACCUGCAUUUUUUUAUGUAUAAGGGAAGAAAUAGGUUACUCUUCUCGACAUAUUUGAUUGCCGGAGCAGACGGCAGAUAUAUUGUUGAGUGUUAAAGUAUAUUACCCUUUUGAUUUGAUUUAUGUUGGUAUAAAAAUAUUUCCUAGGUCAUAUAUAUUGUACUUAGCAACCUUGACGCUAUGGAGAUUUCAUUGUUUUUCUCUGCUACUACUACCAAUUUUUCUAUGCAUCUGCACAUGGGAUAGUCAUCUUGCACUCUCCAUUUGAUAUAGUUCAUUUUCUUUAGUACCACAACACCAUCAAAUCUUCUGUCAAGGAAAAGAAUGUCGCUAAGAAAUUAUAUAAGGCAUUUCACACUCGCUUUUCGCAAGGAAGAGAAUACCUGGAGAGGAAGGGAAUCAUCAUAGGUUGUAUUUUAAGUAAAGAUUUGAAUGCCAAUGAAUUGAGCAAUAUAUAAAAAUAUCAACCUACGAGCUAAUGCAACCUAAUAAAAAAAAUACUAUUGAGCAACUAUAGAGUUUUAGGUUAGGUAGUAUACAUUGAACAUCUAUCUUUUCAAUUUUCUCAUCCCGUUAAAUUACAAUCUUUAUCUGUUAUACAUCAAUAAUGAGAUGUUUGAUUGUUAUGUUCGAUAUUCAAACGGUCAUGUGAGAUUCGUUUUUUAUUACUGCAUAAGUUCAACUGUUCCUACUUGAUUUUUCAAAAUUCUCGAGUAUUUGGUGUAAUAUGAGAUUCAUAUGAAAGGUAUUUUCUUCUAUUGUAUGAAAGAAACUCAUAUGAGAAUCUUUUGAGUACUUAAAGUAAUAUGAAAUUCAUCUUAAAGAUGUGCUUUGUGAUAUCAUGUAUUCGUAUCCAAGAUUUGAUGCUUCAUCUGCUUCUUUAGUUUAGUAAGAAUUAUUUCAUGCUAUUGCAUGAAACAUUUGACUGGUCUCCUACUGCUCUACGCUAGCUCGAAAGGUAUGGCUACUCUCUUCUUUCCUGCUGAACAUCAUCAAGAAUUUCCCCCUUCUUCUGCUUCACCCGGAAGAUUCUCAAUACAGGCUUAACAACCAUCCCUGCUUACAUUUUAAGAAAAGUUUAAUAGUGACCGUCAAGCUUCACUAAUAGAUAUGGUUCUCCUAUAAGGAGCAUGCUUGCCCUAUGUUUAUUGGUGUGCUAAGUCAUGUAACUUAAUGUUGAAACUUAGCGUACAAGAUAUAGCUUAAAUCUCAUAAAUUUAAUAGGCAGAGCAUAUUAGUCACUUGAUAUAAUUCAACGUUCCUGAAUCAAUUUUAUAUUUCUCAGUGAUUAUUUUUUAUACAGAUGACUUCAAGCUAACAUGAUUACUGAUUUCUCUCUAGGUUGAUGAUAAUCCUUCUUUGACAAAUGCUUCCAAGAUGUAGCAUCUAUUAUUGCGAGAGUUGGUCUUGGGGCUCACUGCAUUAGCAUAGGAAGUGUCCGACAUGUUUGAGCAAGCUGUUGGCAGAAAAUACACUGCGAGGAUAUUACUAACAUUGAAGAGUUCUCUCGCCAUUUUGGAGCUGUUGAUUUGAGGUAAAAAGAUGGACAGAAAAGGUGCUUAUGGCUGAAAUGAGAUAGGUUACUAUUAAAAAAAAUUACAGCCUACAAAUUUCUAUGUCUAUUAAUUAGUUUAGAAUUGUAUCUAUGUCUCAGGAUACCUGAUAAAGAGAGAACACUAACAGAGGCUUGAGCACUUACCAUCUGAUCUGAUCCUACUAAGCAAAAGUAAUCACUUGGAAUAUUUAGAACUGGCAAGAAGAAGACGCACUUCUUAUUCUCAUAUUUACGCGUGACAUUGUUACUCAACAAGAAAUACUUGAAAAUUGUAGUUAAUAGAUGGUGCUAUCAUAUUAGAAAGUAUUUGUUUUGUAAUCUAUAGCAAGAAAAUCAUCUGAGUUCAGUAAGUAAGGGGGAUUUGCCAAAGUGUCCUCUCUUUUAUGUAAGGCAUCAUUUUUCUUCCUGAUUUUACAGAUGAACUUACAAAAGGGAAGAGAUUUUCAGUUCUUGGUUUCCAUGGAGAACUUUUCCAUCAUAAUUUAAUUUUGACUAUGCCUAUUUAAGCUUCUUCUAGAAUUGCUAUGUUUUAUUUUCAAAUUGGAUUUUAACAUGCAUGAUUCCAAAAAAAAAUAAUGUGCAGGUACUGGUCACGUUUGUUAUGGCAUUUUGGUUGCUGAUCGUAAUGGUUGCAUGGCUACUAUGACCAACUUGAAGAGAAUUACCACAUGAACAUAUGUUGUUGAGAUUUGUGUAAUACACAAAGCAAAUGCUUUUGCUUUCUCACAUAUAUGCAAUAUUAUCAACUUCUUCAUUGCAAUGACAUUGUACCACCCACUCACUAAUGUGAGAAAAUGUCUCUUAUAUAUUAUCCUAUUUUUUGUGAAAAUGAUACUCCUUUCAUGUACUCUAUCUAGCAUAUGUAUAUGUGUGUGUUAUUUUCAUAAUUUCUAAAAAAAAUAUUAUAAUUUAAUAAUUAGUUUUUCUUUUCGAUUGACAGUAUAACAUUUCUUGUAAUAUUUUGUAAGACAAGAAUAAACAUAUAUAAUUUUUUUAUUCUUUUUGGUAACUGUAAUUGUAUUACCAGAUUUUCAAAUAUGUACAAAUUUGAAGCUUAGGACAUGGAUAGAAUCCCAAGUCUCAAAGCCCAUCACCUUUGCCUUGCCCAGGCUCUAUGCUAGAAUUUCUACUAAGGAUAAAAAUUUAGUUUAUGCAUUGCACUAGCCAGUCUAGGAUUCAUGCUACUUCUACAAUGAAUUUCAUGAAUAAUUUGCUUUAUAAUUUCCUCUAUGCUCCUCUCCUUUUGCCGAAAAAUUCUGUGAUUCCUCUCUUGCCAUAUGUAAUAAAGAGCUGCAGCUAAUGUCAUUCUAUACACUUCAUCUUGUAUUGAUUUCCUGUUAGCAUGCAGUGUUGCCCAUUCUAUCUCUUCAGUCCACCCUGCACUACUUCUGGUGAUGGACAGCCAUUGAAGUAGUCUUUGCCAUAUCACAUCUGACACUGCAUGCAAAAAAUAGGUGCUGGUGUGUUUCAGGUUCUGCUUUGCACAUUGCACAAAUUGAAUCAGUGUUUAUCCCCCAUUUGUAUUGUUAUGUAACGUAUAAAUUAUUAUACGUUACAUAACAAUACAAAUAUUAAAAUAUCUCUUAUUGAUUAUUGUUUUGAAAACUUUUUCAAUAGAAUCAAUUGUUUACGUAAACUAUCAAAAUUAUUCUUAAAGUGUUUAAAACAAAAUUAAGUUUUCACUUUAUUGAAUAUGUCAAUUAGAGUAUCAUUUUUUUACUUAUAUAAUAUUUUGUAAUAAUUUUAAUUACAAAAUCAAUAUUAUAGUGAUUGUUACCUUUAGAGGACAUUCAAAGUUAAAACAAUAUUUUUUAAAUUUAAUUGUUUGAUAAUCUAAUUAGUUUGAGGUUGAAAUGUUUAAUAAGACAUGUCUGAAGACAAUCUUCCAAAGUCAAUAUUAAAACAUGGUUGAUUCAAAUUCUGAAUUAGACAAGUUAAGAUAUAAAAAGUAACUAUAAAUUUAAUUAUCUUUAUUUUUAAAUAUAAUUACAUCAAUAAUAAAAUUUCAAAAAUAUGUGGAUAAUGAUUAAUAAUAAAUUAACAACAAAUUAUUAAGAAAAUUUUAAUUAAUAUUAACAAUAAAUACAUAAUUUUUUUUAUAUUCUACUUGGGAUAUUUUUUUUCUUCCAAGUUCCAAGUGUGCUAUUGCUUAAUACGGUGCUUCUCACAAUUACACCGCCAUAAUCGUUUAAUCAUGCCUCUUACUUUAUUUCUUUAUUGUACAUCUUCGAUAUGUUUGAGCAAACUGAAUUUGGGGGAGUUUUUGGUUUGUUGGAGGCCCUUAUUUUUUGCGGCUUAAAGCUAUUGAUUUAGUGGCUUUAGGGUUGAGCCGCCCUUGGUAGGUUGACGAUUAGCAUUAACAACAUCGGGGCGGAUCUAGGAAAUUCUAUUGUAUAAGCAUAAUAGAUAAAUGUACCCUUUAAUUUGACUUUAGCUUGUGUCUGUGCCCUCCAAUUUUGGGUGUGAACAAGUAAGCACUUACACAUGUAUAAAAUUAAAUAAGUAGACACAUGCGUCCUACUUGACCAAUUUACGUCCUACGUGAUCCAUGUAGAACACGUGUGUCUACUUGUUAAAUUUUAUAUAAGUUUAAGUGUCUACUUAUGCACAUCCAAAGUUGGAGGACAUAAAUGUCAACUGAUGUCAAGUUAAAACUUUCUUCAUGGGAUUCUACUUCAUGAGAAGCUAGCUAACAAAUUGCAACUAGGACCUAAGUUCUAUGUGGUUGGUUUGUCCAUGAGAGCCUAUCAUGUUUUGUACAUGAAUAAAGUUUAGGGAUCAUACGUAAAAUGGAGUUGCUCUUGUAGGUCCAUCCACGAACUAUUGGUGGAUGAAUCAACAGUGGUUCCAUUCUUUAAGUGUUAUGGAAGGAAAUAGUGAAACAGUUAUCUGGAGCCCCAAGUCUUGGUGAGGUAAAUAGUUUUCUCAUUUUCAACUUAAUUAUAUCCAUUUGUUCUACAAUCAAAAUUCUCUAUAAUCAAAUUGUUUGUCCGUAUAUUUGUUGACUCCUAUAGCGAGAUGUUGUUGUACAGAACAUAUAAUAUCACAUAAUGUGAAAGUCUGAUUCCAAAGAAAACUUGUUUGUAAUAGUAAAAUAUUGUUAUAAAGAAUGAUUGUUAUAUACUUAUAUAGAGGUGGCAUGUGUCCUAUCUAAAUGCAUUUUUGUUUUGUUGUGUCAAAUUGAAUCUUUGGUUGCCUUCUCCACAUUAUGAACUAGAGGUUACAAUUAAAAUGGUUGGAUCAAACUUGGGCAAGUCAAAACGGAUCAAAUCAAUACACGGAUCAUACGACCCAAUUCACCCAAGGUUCGCUUGGGUUGAAAUAGGCUAGGUCAAGAUGAGUUAAAUGACAGUUCAUAUCCCAAACCGCUGAAAAAAUAUUUAUGUUUCAUCUACAUCUUACAUAUUAAAUUGUAUAAUCAUCUCUAAAAGUUUAAGUUGUUAAUUAUAUUACUUAUGUCAACACGUCUCUUCAAAUGGGGACUUGAUUCCUUUUAAUGAGUCAAGCACAAGCAAUUUUUUUUCACCUUUUUAAUGGCAUUGAGAUUUUAAUUUGAACCUGGAGUCUCUUGCCUGCUCUGAUACCAUAUUGAAUUAUGUGACUAUUAUUUAUUAAAGUUUAACCUGAUAGAAAGUACAAUACUUUUGAUCACUUUAUUAUCUUACGUCUCGAUAUUGUUAGGGUUUUGCCCUGAUUUUCUUUCCUUAAUUGAAGUUUUUUUUUUCCUUAAAGAAAAAUUAAAGUAUUACCAUAAAUGCUUGAACUUUUUCUGAAAGGAAAAUAUAGUUUUCUUUCAUAGUUGGUUUAUUCUUACCUUAGAGGAAAUGUUUGGAGAUCUAUAAAUUGAAGAUCCCUAUUCUUAUAGCAUAACACAAUAGAAUCUACAAUGUAGACAUCUAGAGAGUUUUGUUUAUGGAGAGAUUUUCUCUUAAACAUAUUUAUGUUUUUUUUUCAAUAUUAUAUUAGUUUUAUAAUAUGUAGGUCACUUGACCAAACACUAUUAAUAAUAUAUUUUUAGUAUGUUUUUAUUUGUCGUCUAAUUUAUCAAUCUAUGAUUUGCAAAUUAUAAGCCUUCGCAUAACGCCCUAAUCACCUUCAUAACCCAACAAGACUUGCCAUGGUUAAAAAUAAAGUUAAAAAUAUAUGGGUUAAAAAUAUUUUGUUUUUAUUCUUAAAAAUUGCAGCAACAAGAAUGUUUGAAAUUUUUUGGCACACCAUAUCUAGAAAAAGGUAACACAACAAGGCGAGUUUGAAUCAUUGUAUGAUCCAACACAAGUUUCUAAUCCUUUCAAAGAGAAUGAGGGAAGUGUCCAUCUUUGGCAAAGGUUAAGAGGACAAAAUUGUACCAAGAAAACUCAAUCAAUAUGUAGCAAAGAAGCUUGGUUGGAUUAAAUAUCAUGAAGUUCCUAAUGCUAGUCACUUCUUGAUUUAUGAUGCUACUCUAUGUGAAACCAUCUUGAGGAAACUAGUGAAUGAAUGAGUAGAAAUAGAAAACAUUGUGAUGAAAUAAUGGUAAUAUUCACUAGCCUUUGUGAUAAAUCAAAAAUAAUAAAGCUAGUACAAUAUUAUCUAUUGUACGUACUAUAUUUCCUUGAUAAAAAAUCUAGUAGUAGUGAAGUUGGUUCUUGAAUUUGUGGACUAACGUAAUUUCCGAAUGUAUAAAUUUUAUUUCAAAAAAUUUGAAGAUCUCAUGUCUGAAUUUACGAUCAAAAUUAGACUAUUUAACUCUUGAAAAGUGAAAAAUGUUAUAUAAACUAUAACAAAAGUGUUGUUGGUUAGGUUGAUUUCCGAAAUAGAGUUGAAAAGGAACAUGUCAGAGUUAUGGUUAUCAACCAACCAUUAAUUAGAAGCGGCAAUGCCUUAAUUAGGGUAUUUAUUUAAGAUAAUUAGAAGUUGAAUUAUGUAUAAUCGUUAUAGUCACAAUCUUUGAAUUAUAAAAGUCAAAGGGGUUCGACAUCUAAUGGCAUGACAUGUUCAUGGGCAAGCCAUAAUAUCAAAUAUUUCAUCUUAUAUCCAGCCUUUAUAAUAACUAAUAAGGUUCAUAGAAGGACAAAUAAGAUGCCUCCACUCUUAAUAAGACGAUUCUUGUUUGAAUUUUGUGUAUUGAAAAAAUAAUAAUUAAGAAGUGCUUCUCUCUUAAUUAGAUUUUACGUAAUGCCAAUCCAAAUUAAUUGAAGCCCCAGCGCGAGUACCAAACACCAAAUACUUAUACCUUAUCCAAAUUCUUACAAGAAGCCUCAUUUUCAACUAUAGAUUAAAACUUUAAAUCCAUUAAUUUUGAAUGUAACACUUUUCCAAAAAUGAAUCCACUACCGUGAUUAUUACUGUUUUUUCAGAGCAAAAAUGCUUAUUCCAUAAAAUUUAGUUUUAUGUACUCUACGCAAUAAACAUUGGUUACGAAUUUACAGUAAAAAAAAACUUAACUUGUUAUAACAUGUUAUUAUUCAAGUCUCUACCAAUUCCUCCUGCAAUACAAAUUAAUGAAGUGCAUAUAUGAACUUUAAUAAUUAUAUAUGUCUCAAUCCCAAACAAAUUAAAAUGUACCAUACAACUAAAAUAGUACUAAUUGUCUUGUAAGACAAUCAAAACAACCAUCAAUGGGCGAGAUGGAUGAAAUCGAUCUCUUGCUCAAUAGCUGAGGUUCCAAAUUCAAACACUAAGAAUAAUAAAAUUCUAUUAGUAGGGAAAAUCCUCUUAAAUAGACCCCACAUAAUUCAAAUUUAAAUUAAUCGAAUCAGUAAGAUUCGGUACAAUAAAAAUUUUAAAAAAUCAAUUUAAACACCUCUACCUUGAACUUAUUACUUGUUCUUCCAUAAUUGUCUCCAACAAAGGCUUCCUAAAUUCUUGUCUCACCGGAAAACCUAACGGUCCGACCCCGUCCUUCUCCGGAGAUCUACCCACCUUUGCCUCGUUUUCCGGUCCCGGUUUACCAACGGAAAUAAUAUCUUUUGUUGUUAUAACGGAAUUCACUUUUUUCAUUGGGAACAUUAUAUAAAUGUUCCCAAACUCGAGCUCUUCGUCGGCCGAUAAAGCUGAAAAUCUUCUGCCGACGAUUAACGAGCUGGAGUUUACUAAAAAGGAGUUAGGAGAUUCCAACAUAAGCUCAGCUGCUAUUAUUGGUUCAUUAAAUUUUUGAAUUUUUCCAUUUUGAAAAAUAACCCUUGUUGGUCUUGAACUCAUUACCUUUGGUGAAGUACCACAUGAAAUAAAAUUCCCCAUUAGAAAUUUUUUUUAAUUAUAAUAAAAAUUGGGAAUAGUUUGGGUUUGUUAUAUUUUUGAAGUGUAAAAAUUGACAAAGGAUAUAUUCACAAUAAGAUGAGAAUCACAAACCUAUUUAUAGUUGGUUUGGGAGAACUAACAAAAUCUUACUCCCUAAAUAAUUAGAAGUAUGAUAGGUCAAAAUAUUUAAAUUUGACUAUAAAUUUGGAUAUGAAAUUUUCAAAAUAUAAAGUUACAUAUGUAGAAGUCAACAUAAUAAGUGAUUUAAAAUAUUUUAAAAAAACUUUGAAGAUAAUAGUAAUCAUAGAAGAUACCGAUUUGACUUUCCAAACAGUAACUUGUAAAACUUAAAUAGGACGGAGAGAGUAUUAUCGUAAAAACAUUUAGUCAUUUUUCGAAAGAAAACAAUUUUGAAGAAUAGCAAUUUAUAUAAUUUGUUUAAUCAAUUUAAUUUUUUUUUUCAAUAUUAGAUUAAUAAUUGUGUUUGGUCAAUAUUUUAAAUUCGUUAUUUCCUUUAUCUCAAUUUAUAUAUGUAUUUGACUGAACACAAAGUUUAAGAAAAGAAAAAAGAAGGAAAUUUGAUAAAAACUUAUAAUGUUAAAUAAGUCACUGAUAAAUCAUUUCGCUAAGAGUAAAAUAGAAAGUAUAAAAUUAAAUUAUUUUUAAAUAAAAUAAAUAAAUAUUUUUUGUGUAACCGCUAUUAUGAAACAUAAAUUAAGAUAAAAGAAGAUAUACAUUUAUUAAGCAUAAAGUUUACUAUGUAAGAUGCAUUAAUGUAGGUGGGGAAUGACCUGUCAAGUCCAUGGGAUUGUGUUGGCAAAAAAUUAAGGUAGGAUUAUUAGUGUGGAAGGUUUAUUAACUUCUUUUUUCACUUUUUCAAAGUUUUGUUUCAUUUUCAUGGUGGGGUUGGGGAUAAAGAUUGGUCAAAUGUGUUUUAUUAUCAAUUUGUCUUAGUGUUUGUGAAGUGAUAUAUUCAGACUAAUCACCAUUAACUCUAGAUAAAGAAUA